UACGUAGGGUGCGAGCGUUAAUCGGAAUUACUGGGCGUAAAGCGUGCGCAGGCGGCGCGUUAAGACAGGUGUGAAAGCCCCGAGCUUAACUUGGGAAUUGCGCUUGUGACUGGCGUGCUGGAGUGUGGCAGAGGGAGGUGGAAUUCCACGUGUAGCAGUGAAAUGCGUAGAGAUGUGGAGGAACACCGAUGGCGAAGGCAGCCUC
rnacentral:rRNA from 1 species